rnacentral:sRNA from 1 species
GCUGGGCAUGGUGGCACAUGCCUGUAAUCUUAGUGGCUCAGGCAGCUGAGGCAGGAGGAUUGCAAGCUCAGAGCUAACCUCAGCAACUUAACAAGGCCCUAAGAAACUAAGCAAGACCCUGUCUCAG